rnacentral:rRNA from 1 species
UACGAAGGGGGCUAGCGUUGUUCGGAAUCACUGGGCGUAAAGGGCGCGUAGGCGGCUUUAUAAGUCGGGGGUGAAAGCCUGUGGCUCAACCACAGAAUUGCCUUCGAUACUGUAUGGCUUGAGACCGGAAGAGGUAAGUGGAACUGCGAGUGUAGAGGUGAAAUUCGUAGAUAUUCGCAAGAACACCAGUGGCGAAGGCGACUCACUGGACAUGUAUUGACGCUGAGGUGCGAAAGCGUGGGGAGCAAACAGG